CCCAGACAGCCAGGAUGUUGGCUUAGAAGCAGCCAUCAUUUAAAGAAAGCGUAAUAGCUCACUGGUCGAGUCGGCCUGCGCGGAAGAUGUAACGGGGCUAAACCAUGCACCGAAGCUGCGGCAGCGACGCUUAUGCGUUGUUGGGUAGGGGAGCGUUCUGUAAGCCGUUGAAGGUGUGCUGUGAGGCAUGCUGGAGGUAUCAGAAGUGCGAAUGCUGACAUAAGUAACGAUAAAGCGGGUGAAAAGCCCGCUCGCCGGAAGACCAA
rnacentral:rRNA from 1 species